AGAGUUUGAUCAUGGCUCAGAAUCAACGCUGGCGGCGUGCCUCAGACAUGCAAGUCGAACGAUUAAGACUUCCUUCGGGAAGUGCAUAAAGUGGCGCACGGGUGAGUAACACGUAAGUAAUCUACCUUCGAGUGGGGAAUAACGUCCGGAAACGGACGCUAAUACCGCAUAAUGCAGCGGCAUCGAAAGAUGACAGUUGUUAAAGGAGCAAUUCGCUUGAAGAGGAGCUUGCGGCAGAUUAGCUAGUUGGUAAGGUAAUGGCUUACCAAGGCUACGAUCUGUAACCGGUCUAAGAGGACGGUCGGUCACACUGACACUGAAUAACGGGUCAGACUCCUACGGGAGGCAGCAGUCGGGAAUUUUGGGCAAUGGGCGAAAGCCUGACCCAGCAACGCCGCGUGAAGGAUGAAGUAUUUCGGUAUGUAAACUUCGAAAGAAUAGGAAGAAUUAAUGACGGUACUAUUUAUAAGGUCCGGCUAACUACGUGCCAGCAGCCGCGGUAAUACGUAGGGACCAAGCGUUGUUCGGAUUUACUGGGCGUAAAGGGCGCGUAGGCGGCAUGACAAGUCACUUGUGAAAUCUCCGGGCUUAACUCGGAACGGUCAAGUGAUACUGUCGCGCUAGAGUGCGGAAGGGGCAAUCAGAAUUCUUGGUGUAGCGGUGAAAUGCAGAUAUCAAGAGGAAUACCUGAGGUGAAGACGGGUUGCUAGGCCGACACUGACGCUGAAGCGCGAAAGCCAGGGGAGCAAACGGGAUUAGAUACCCUAGUAGUCC
rnacentral:rRNA from 1 species